rnacentral:rRNA from 1 species
UACGUAGGUUGCGAGCGUUAAUCGGAAUUACUGGGCGUAAAGCGUGCGCAGGCGGUUUUUUAAGCCAGAUAUGAAAUCCCCGGGCUUAACCUGGGAACUGCAUUUGGAACUGGAAGACUAGAGUAUGGCAGAGGGGGGUAGAAUUCCACGUGUAGCAGUGAAAUGCGUAGAUAUGUGGAGGAAUACCGAUGGCGAAGGCAGCGCCCUGGGUCGAUACUGACGCUCAUGCGCGAAAGCGUGGGGAGCAAACAGG